CCUACGGGAGGCAGCAGUGGGGAAUAUUGGACAAUGGGGGGAACCCUGAUCCAGCCAUGCCGCGUGUGUGAAGAAGGCCCUCGGGUUGUAAAGCACUUUCAGUGAGGAAGAACGCCUGGUGGUUAAUACCCAUCAGGAAAGACAUCACUCACAGAAGAAGCACCGGCUAACUCCGUGCCAGCAGCCGCGGUAAUACGGAGGGUGCGAGCGUUAAUCGGAAUUACUGGGCGUAAAGCGCGCGUAGGUGGCUUGAUAAGCCGGUUGUGAAAGCCCCGGGCUCAACCUGGGAACGGCAUCCGGAACUGUCAAGCUAGAGUGCAGGAGAGGAAGGUAGAAUUCCCGGUGUAGCGGUGAAAUGCGUAGAGAUCGGGAGGAAUACCAGUGGCGAAGGCGGCCUUCUGGACCGACACUGACACUGAGGUGCGAAAGCGUGGGUAGCAAACAGGAUUAGAUACCCUUGUAGUC
rnacentral:rRNA from 1 species